rnacentral:lncRNA from 1 species
CCACAAGGAGAGUGGAGCAUAAAGGCAUUUGUGGAGCAUUCUGUUUGCUAAUUGCUUAUGGAAUUUCAGGUUGAAAGAGAAGAAGGGAAUCUACCAGGUGGCUGCAUCUUGAAAAACAGCAUGGCUGGCUCUGCCCAGACUGCUUUGGAGCUCUACCCUCUCUCCUCCUCUGUGGUGUCUCAGGUGAAGAGGAGGCUUUGACAUGGGCACAGAAGGGCCACUCUGAAGGUAUGGCCUCUUGUCUCUUUGCCUUGGUUGCAUCUUGGUUUACAAAUUUGGUGGUGCUUGGGUUUUGUCACAAGAGUCUGAAAUCCUGGUGUUAGGCUGCAUUUCAUUAGAACAUGGCCAAGAAAAUCUGUCGUGAUUUUCACCCAAACCAUUUCCACACAUCUGUCUCACCUGCCCAACCCCUUUUCACAGCUACUUUUCUAGCAAUGAACUUCAUCCAAAGACACUGAAGGUAGGUUAUAUUUCCAACAAUAGGCACAGAGAAAGUGGCAGAAGCAGCAGGAACAUGGAACUUCCUCUGAUCCCUGCUCUGGUACAACUAAAGCUUGAAUAUGAGUUCCAUUCUUUUAUUUGUAUAAAAUCUGAAUUUCUACACUAACUUUGGAUCAAAAGUUUAUUCUCUAACCAGGAAGAUGUUUUGGUUUUUUGGUUUUUUUUUUUUAAUUUUUUUUUAUUUUCUACAAACUGCAUUGUUAUUUGGGGAGUAUGUUCACAAUUGAGAAAGAAUUGCCUUUAUUAACAAAUCAAAAGCUCGUGCUGUCAAAACU